rnacentral:pre_miRNA from 1 species
CAGAACUGGUCUGUGAUUUAGGUAGUUUCCUGUUGUUGGGGCUCCACCUUUCUCUCGACAGCAUGAUACUGCCUUCAUUACUUCAGUUGAA